rnacentral:rRNA from 1 species
CUGGGAGGACCAUCUCCUAAGGCUAAAUACUCUCUAGUGACCGAUAGUGAACCAGUACCGUGAGGGAAAGGUGAAAAGCACCCCGGAAGGGGAGUGAAAUAGAACCUGAAACCGUGUGCUUACAAGUAGUCAGAGCCCGUUAAUGGGUGAUGGCGUGCCUUUUGUAGAAUGAACCGGCGAGUUACGAUUUGAUGCAAGGUUAAGCAGUAAAUGUGGAGCCGUAGCGAAAGCGAGUCUGAAUAGGGCGUUUAGUAUUUGGUCGUAGACCCGAAACCAGGUGAUCUACCCUUGGUCAGGUUGAAGUUCAGGUAACACUGAAUGGAGGACCGAACCGACUUACGUUGAAAAGUGAGCGGAUGAACUGAGGGUAGCGGAGAAAUUCCAAUCGAACCUGGAGAUAGCUGGUUCUCUCCGAAAUAGCUUUAGGGCUAGCCUCAAGUGAUGAUUAUUGGAGGUAGAGCACUGUUUGGACGAGGGGCCCCUCUCGGGUUACCGAAUUCAGACAAACUCCGAAUGCCAAUUAAUUUAACUUGGGAGUCAGAACAUGGGUGAUAAGGUCCGUGUUCGAAAGGGAAACAGCCCAGACCACCAGCUAAGGUCCCAAAAUAUAUGUUAAGUGGAAAAGGAUGUGGCGUUGCCCAGACAACUAGGAUGUUGGCUUAGAAGCAGCCAUCAUUUAAAGAGUGCGUAAUAGCUCACUAGUCGAGUGACACUGCGCCGAAAAUGUACCGGGGCUAAACAUAUUACCGAAGCUG